GAUAGCGUCUAGAUUGGUCUAGAUGGUAUUCAGACCGAAGUGCAAAAAUUAAUAAAAACGUAUUUUUGUUUAACACGUGUGAUUUUUAAACCGAUCUGGAUAAUUUCAACCCGUGCGAUUCACGUGAAAUAAUAUAUGUAUCAGACAUACAAGAAACAGAAGACAAAGUUGAAGAGAAGACCGGAGUCAUGACUUCUGAUAUCAUUUCCAUAUUGUCUUCAGAAAUGCUUUCAAAGCAAUUCAAAGUUUCUACCAAUGCCUGUGAUUGGUCGCUCCAUAAUGGCGUCCUCCUAUUUCGACCAAUCAGAUUCAUCGUUAAAGGGUGCGUUGUACGGAGUGUUGUAGAGAGCAACAGUCCUCUUCGAAGCUUCGUCCAUUUGACACGUGUCUGCAACAGACCUGUUCGUGUACUUGCUUAGGUGUCGGCCGAUAGCGGAAUAUACCGAAGAAUGCCGAAGCGGUGCCGAUCGGUCUUCGUCGGGAAGGAAGGUCUCGCCAUUUCUCUCGCGAACGUCAAGGUGACAAGACGUGUUGAGAGCAUCCUUCCGCAUAAGUAAUA